CCUACGGGAGGCAGCAGUGAGGAAUAUUGGUCAAUGGGCGCGAGCCUGAACCAGCCAAGUAGCGUGAAGGAUGAAUGCUCUACGGGUUGUAAACUUUUUUUAUAAAGGAAUAAAGUGAGGCACGUCUGCCUUUUUGUAUGUACUUUAUGAAUAAGGAUCGGCUAACUCCGUGCCAGCAGCCGCGGUAAUACGGAGGAUCUGCUCGUUAUACGGAUUUAUUGGGUUUAAAGGGAGCGUAGAUGGGUUGUUAAGUCAGUUGUGAAAGUUUGCGGCUCAACCGUAAAAGUGCAAUUGAUACUGGCAGCCUUGAGUACAGUUGAGGUAGGCGGAAUUCGUGGUGUAGCGGUGAAAUGCGUAGAUAUCACGAAGAACACCGAUUGCGAAGGCAGCCUACUAAACUGCCACUGACAUUGAUGCUCGAAAGUGUGGGGAUCAAACAGGAUUAGAUACCCGAGUAGUC
rnacentral:rRNA from 1 species